UGGGGAAUCUUGCACAAUGGGGGAAACCCUGAUGCAGCGACGCCGCGUGAGCGAUGAAGCCCUUCGGGGUGUAAAGCUCUUUCGGCAGGGAAGAUUAUGACGGUACCUGCAGAAGCAGCUGCGGCUAACUACGUGCCAGCAGCCGCGGUAAUACGUAGGCAGCAAGCGUUGUUCGGAGUUACUGGGCGUAAAGGGUGUGUAGGCGGUCUCUUAAGUUUGUUGUGAAAUCUCCCGGCUCAACUGGGAGGGUGCGGCGAAUACUGAGAGGCUAGAGUGCGGGAGAGGAAAGUGGAAUUCCUGGUGUAGCGGUGAAAUGCGUAGAUAUCAGGAGGAACACCGGUGGUGUAAACGGCUUUCUGGACCGUAACUGACGCUGAGACACGAAAGCGUGGGUAGCAAA
rnacentral:rRNA from 1 species